rnacentral:rRNA from 1 species
ACGUUAGCGGCGGACGGGUGAGUAACACGUGGGCAACCUACCUUAUAGUUUGGGAUAACUCCGGGAAACCGGGGCUAAUACCGAAUAAUCUGUUUCANCUCAUGGUGAAACACUGAAAGACGGUUUCGGCUGUCGCUAUAGGAUGGGCCCGCGGCGCAUUAGCUAGUUGGUGAGGUAACGGCUCACCAAGGCGACGAUGCGUAGCCGACCUGAGAGGGUGAUCGGCCACACUGGGACUGAGACACGGCCCAGACUCCUACGGGAGGCAGCAGUAGGGAAUCUUCCACAAUGGGCGAAAGCCUGAUGGAGCAACGCCGCGUGAGUGAAGAAGGAUUUCGGUUCGUAAAACUCUGUUGUAAGGGAAGAACAAGUACAGUAGUAACUGGCUGUACCUUGACGGUACCUUAUUAGAAAGCCACGGCUAACUACGUGCCAGCAGCCGCGGUAAUACGUAGGUGGCAAGCGUUGUCCGGAAUUAUUGGGCGUAAAGCGCGCGCAGGUGGUUUCUUAAGUCUGAUGUGAAAGCCCACGGCUCAACCGUGGAGGGUCAUUGGAAACUGGGAGACUUGAGUGCAGAAGAGGA